GACGUAGGGCGCGAGCGUUGUCCGGAUUUAUUGGACGUAAAGAGCUCGUAGGCGGCUUGUUGCGUCAGCUGUGAAAACCCGCAGCUCAACUGUGGGCUUGCAGCUGAUACGGGCAGGCUAGAGUUCGGUAGGGGAGUCUGGAAUUCCUGGUGUAGCGGUGAAAUGCGCAGAUAUCAGGAGGAACACCGGUGGCGAAGGCGGGACUCUGGGCCGAUACUGACGCUGAGGAGCGAAAGCGUGGGGAGCGAACAGG
rnacentral:rRNA from 1 species